rnacentral:rRNA from 1 species
AUUGAACGCUGGCGGAAUGCUUUACACAUGCAAGUCGAACGGCAGCACGGGGCAACCUGGUGGCGAGUGGCGAACGGGUGAGUAAUAUAUCGGAACGUGCCCAAUCGUGGGGGAUAACGUAGCGAAAGUUACGCUAAUACCGCAUACGAUCUACGGAUGAAAGCGGGGGAUCGCAAGACCUCGCGCGAAUGGAGCGGCCGAUAUCAGAUUAGGUAGUUGGUGGGGUAAAGGCUCACCAAGCCAACGAUCUGUAGCUGGUCUGAGAGGACGACCAGCCACACUGGAACUGAGACACGGUCCAGACUCCUACGGGAGGCAGCAGUGGGGAAUUUUGGACAAUGGGCGCAAGCCUGAUCCAGCCAUUCCGCGUGCAGGAUGAAGGCCUCGGUUGUAACUGCUUUGUACGGUACGAAACGGUCUGCCUAAUACGGCGGGCUAAUGACGGUACCGUAAGAAUAAGACACGGCUAACUACGUGCCAGCAGCCGCGGU